UACAGAGGGUGCAAGCGUUAAUCGGAAUUACUGGGCGUAAAGCGUGCGCAGGCGGUUUUGUAAGUCUGUCAUGAAAUCCCCGGGCUCAACCUGGGAAUUGCGAUGGAGACUGCAAGGCUAGAAUCUGGCAGAGGGGGGUAGAAUUCCACGUGUAGCAGUGAAAUGCGUAGAGAUGUGGAGGAACACCGAUGGCGAAGGCAGCCCCCUGGGUCAAGAUUGACGCUCAUGCACGAAAGCGUGGGGAGCAAACAGG
rnacentral:rRNA from 1 species